GACGAACGCUGGCGGCGUGCUUAACACAUGCAAGUCGAACGGUGAAGCGCCUUCCUUUUUGGUGGGUGUGGAUGAGUGGCGAACGGGUGAGUAACACGUGAGUAACCUGCCCCCUUCUUCUGGAUAACCGCAUGAAAGUGUGGCUAAUACGGGAUAUUCUGGGUCUGUCGCAUGAUGGGUCUGGGAAAGAUAUUGUUUCGGUGGGGGAUGGGCUCGCGGCCUAUCAGCUUGUUGGUGGGGUGAUGGCCUACCAAGGCGGUGACGGGUAGCCGGCCUGAGAGGGUGGACGGUCACACUGGGACUGAGACACGGCCCCGACUCCUACGAGCGGCAGCAGUGGGGAAUAUUGCACAAUGGGCGCAAGCCUGAUGCAGCGCCGCCGCGUGAGGGAUGGAGGCCUUCGGGUUGUGAACCUCUUUCGCCAGUGAAGCAGGCCUGCCUCGUUUGUGGGUGGGUUGACGGUAGCUGGAUAAGAAGCGCCGGCUAACUACGUG
rnacentral:rRNA from 1 species